UGGGGAAUAUUGGACAAUGGGGGGAACCCUGAUCCAGCCAUGCCGCGUGUGUGAAGAAGGCCUUAUGGUUGUAAGCACUUUAAGCGAGGAGGAGGGUUCUGGUUUUAAUACUAACAGGUACCGGCCGUUACUCGCAGAAUAAGCACCGGCUAACUCUGUGCCAGCAGCCGCGGUAAUACAGAGGGUGCGAGCGUUAAUCGGAUUUACUGGGCGUAAAGCGUGCGUAGGCGGCUAAUUAAGUCGGAUGUGAAAUCCCCGGGCUUAACUUGGGAAUUGCAUUCGAUACUGGUUAGCUAGAGUGUGGGAGAGGAUGGUAGAAUUCCAGGUGUAACGGUGAAAUGCGUAGAGAUCUGGAGGAAUACCGAUGGCGAAGGCAGCCAUCUGGCCUAACACUGACGCUGAGGUACGAAAGCAGGGGGAGCAAACAGG
rnacentral:rRNA from 1 species